UCAGACGAUGCGUCAUGCAUAUCAAUAAGCGGAGGAAAAGAAACUAACAAGGAUUCCCUCAGUAACGGCGAGUGAAGCGGGAAGAGCUCAAAUUUGAAAUCUUGAAAGGUCACCUUUCACGAAUUGUAGUUUAAAGAAGUGUUUUCUGUUACGAUCGUAAUAUAAGUUCUUUGGAAUAGGACAUCACAGAGGGUGAGAAUCCCGUCUAUGAUUGCGAUUUGUAGCUUUGUGAUACACUUUCAAAGAGUCGGGCUGUUUGGGAAUGCAGCCCAAAACGGGAGGUAAAUUUCUUCUAAGGCUAAAUAUUGGCGAGAGACCGAUAGCGAACAAGUACCGUGAGGGAAAGAUGAAAAGAACUUUGAAAAGAGAGUUAAAUAGUACGUGAAAUUGUCAAAAGGGAAGCGUUUAACACCAGUGUUGUUUUCUCGAAAAUCAAUUAAAAAGAGUUAGAUUUUGUUGUGUAUUGACCUUAACAGCUUGCAUUUCAAUUUUCUUGCUUUUUUUAAUGCACUUUUCGUUUAACAAGUCAACAUCAGUUUCUUUUGUUGUAAAAAGGUCAUUGGAAGGUGGCUUUCUUUUCGGAGAAAGUGUUUAUAGCCUUUGACUCCUGCAAUCGGAGAGACUGAGGUCUGCAGCGUAGAUCCUUCGGGGUUAGAUACAUUUGUGCUAAGUUAUAGCUUUUUAUAGACAACUUGUUGACUAUGAUUAGUCUUGUAGCUUACUCGCUUAUGCUAUUUUACCUACGCUUAGGAUGUUGAUCUGUAGUGCGUGCGC
rnacentral:rRNA from 1 species